GCACAAAGGAGCUUCCGGAAGCAAAGAAUUGGCAAAGCUAGAAAACGACAACGGCCGUUCUGUCGUGUCCGGAGAUGCGGGGUCAAAACACGCUUUGGGAAACAAACAAAAAACGAUAGUAUAAGAUAAGAGACCCGAUGGAGUAUUUGAUCAAGUCUUGUACUAAUCUUAAAGCAUUUGCAUAUGCAGUUACCAUGACCUACGGUCAUUUGAUUAAACAAAGACCUCGUCGUUCGCUUAGAAGAGUGCGAGUGAAUGUUUAACAUGUC
rnacentral:lncRNA from 1 species